GACGAACGCUGGCGGCGUGCUUAACACAUGCAAGUCGAACGAGGCCCCUCCUUCGGGGGGGUGUCCUAGUGGCGAACGGGUGAGUAACACGUGGGCAACCUGCCCCCGGCUCCGGGAUAACCCCAAGAAAUUGGGGCUAAUACCGGAUACGUCCGCUGACCGCAUGGUCUGGUGGUGGAAAGGGUUUCCGGCUGGGGAUGGGCCCGCGGCCUAUCAGCUUGUUGGUGGGGUAGUGGCCUACCAAGGCGACGACGGGUAGCCGGCCUGAGAGGGUGACCGGCCACACUGGGACUGAGACACGGCCCAGACUCCUACGGGAGGCAGCAGUGGGGAAUAUUGCGCAAUGGGCGAAAGCCUGAUCCAGCAAUUCCGCGUGGAGGAUUAAGCCCUAAGGGGUGUAAACUUCUUUUUUGGUGGAAGACGAAUGACGGUACACCAAGAAUAAGGGACGGCUAACUUCGUGCCAGCAGCCGCAGUAAAAC
rnacentral:rRNA from 1 species